rnacentral:rRNA from 1 species
GACGAACGCUGGCGGCGUGCCUAAUACAUGCAAGUAGAACGCUGAAGGAGGAGCUUGCUUCUCUGGAUGAGUUGCGAACGGGUGAGUAACGCGUAGGUAACCUGCCUGGUAGCGGGGGAUAACUAUUGGAAACGAUAGCUAAUACCGCAUAAUAGUAGAUGUUGCAUGACAUUUGCUUAAAAGGUGCAAUUGCAUCACUGCCAGAUGGACCUGCGUUGUAUUAGCUAGUUGGUGAGGUAACGGCUCACCAAGGCAACGAUACAUAGCCGACCUGAGAGGGUGAUCGGCCACACUGGGACUGAGACACGGCCCAGACUCCUACGGGAGGCAGCAGUAGGGAAUCUUCGGCAAUGGACGGAAGUCUGACCGAGCAACGCCGCGUGAGUGAAGAAGGUUUUCGGAUCGUAAAGCUCUGUUGUAAGAGAAGAACGAGUGUGAGAGUGGAAAGUUCACACUGUGACGGUAUCUUACCAGAAAGGGACGGCUAACUACGUG